CCGGAGAUCACGUAGCGCAACGCUUUGCUAAGGUGGAGGGGAGUUACACGGAGGCCCUGUGCUUCCUUAACUCCACCACAGUAACAGCCACCGGGUCCAGGCUGGGCCUUCGCAUGGCCUGCGGCCUUGUGUGUCUGCGGACUACCAACUGACGCUUCUUCUGCAUUCUUAAGAGUCUAGGUACAUGCGCUCUGUUCUAUGCGUUUGUUGCUGUGCGAUGGCCUGGUCAUCAGGUUUCGACAACGGGAACACAGUACGACGCUUGCUACACAUCGUGGGGGGACCCCCGGGACAUAGUGAGGACAAACUCUUCCUUCACUUACUCUUUGAUUUGGUCACUUGCCACUAACGGUCCGAAGUAUGCCUUAGAAGGAUUCGCCUGCUCCUCUUACCCAGCUUUCGUUGUAGAACGAGGAUCCAACAGCUUCACGCAGAUUGACCUGGAAGAGACCACUCGAGUGCAAGCGGUGAUCAUAGCUACAGCAUUUGAUGGUUGGCUUGAGAACAUGGACGUGAUCCUCAGCAACACGAGUGACUUCAGCCUGGGGCAAAAAAUUGGAAGACUUGACGGAUUUCCACCGGAAUGGUCGACGGUCACCCUCGUCACCAACACCAGCGCGGAGGGACGGUACCUCACGACAUUUCAGACAUCAUCUGGUCACCAGGGCUACGCUGCCAUACAAGUCAUUCCGCUGCCAUAAACCUCUUCUUCACUUCUUCAUUUUUAUCUGUUCUUGAAUGCAGGUCUUUGAGUAACAGAGAAUAUUUCUUACUGAAAAUUUUCUUACUGAUUUUCUUCCAUCGGCAAAUUAGGCCUUUGAUAGGAAUUGAAAAUUCAAAUGUCAGGCUUCAAAUGGACAUUUUAUUAUAAUUUAAGACAUUUCAAAUGCAACUAAAUUCAUUGUCAAGUAUGGGAAGAGUUUGAAUAAUUUGAAUUUGAAAUUUAGAAAUGACGUAGGUACAAACAUAGGUUUAUGUAUAUCAAUUGAAAAUCAAAGCUAGAAUUACAAGAACAGUUUCAACGUCCUGACAAGUCCGGUAGUUUGUAAAUUAAUAGAUGGAGACUCGUGCUUGAUGAAGUGAGCCUCAGCUAUGGCCAGUCUUGUGGUGUCUGAGCAUCUCAUUAAUAUGCUGGUGUAGGUCUGCAACGUCCCUAGAGUCAGGGCCUCACUAUUAGCUUCUCUCAUGUGGUUCCUUAGCCCUCUGGUCUGGAGGUGGCACGCUAGGCGGUGGCUUAAAGUCGUGCUGGUAAAGCAGAUGUAAUUUACAUCUGGAGAGGUCCUCAACCUUCUUCAUGGCAUUAAUAUGUGUAAAUUACAUUGAUUUCUUACACUGGCCACGACUUUUUUCACGGAUUAUUUUUCAUUAUCAAAUUUUCGAGUUUCUUGCUUUUAUGGUAAAUCAGGAGAUUGAUUCGGUCGGUUGCGGUUGUGCUGCUGAUGUUUUUCAGCACAAUUGAUUUGAAAACUUUUUUGUCUGUCAUAUAGCAUCCAGUCGUUUGGUUUGGGUAAUAAAUUGUCAUAAUAUUCCUGUUGGAUUAAUCUGUUCAUCAACUGUCCAGGUGACUACCUAUUUCAUAUUUUCUAUUUAAUAUGUCUUAUUGACUAGAAUGUGUCACGUCAAAUUUCCCCGGAAGUGUACCACGUCCUAUUUCCUAGAAUGUGUGUACCACGACAUAUUUCCUAGAGUAUGUGUACCACGUCAUAUUUCCUAACGUGUGUAUACCACGUCAUAUUUCCUAGAGUGUGUGUACCACGACAUAUAUCCUAGACUAGCGUGUGUGUACCACGUCAUAUUUCCUAGAGCGUGUAUACCACGUCAUAUUUCCUAGACUAGAGUGUGUGUACCACGUCAUAAUUCCUAGAGUGUGUGUACCACGUCAUAUUUCCUAGAGUGUGUGUACCACGUCAUAUUUCCUGGAGUGUGUGUACCACGUCAUAUAGAGGUGGGGUGCGGGGUGACUGGUGUGGUCAGGCUGCUGGGGUGUCAGGGAGAGGCGAGG